rnacentral:rRNA from 1 species
UACGUAGGGGGCAAGCGUUGUCCGGAUUUAUUGGGCGUAAAGAGCGUGUAGGCGGCUUUACAGGUCCGUUGUGAAAGCCCGAGGCUCAACCUCGGAACUGCCUUCGAUACUGCGGGUCUCGAGUCCGGGAGAGGUGAGUGGAAUUCCUAGUGUAGAGGUGAAAUUCGUAGAUAUUAGGAAGAACACCAGUGGCGAAGGCGGCUCACUGGCCCGGUACUGACGCUGAGGCGCGAAAGCGUGGGGAGCAAACAGG